GAUGAAGAACGUAGCGAAAUGCGAUAAGUAAUGUGAAUUGCAGAAUUCAGUGAAUCAUCGAAUCUUUGAACGCACAUUGCGCCCCUUGGUAUUCCGAGGGGCAUGCCUGUUCGAGCGUCAUUUCAACCCUCAAGCACAGCUUGGUCUUGGGCUUCGCCGCUAACCCGGCGGGUCUUAAAAUCAGUGGCGGUGCCGUCGGGCCCUGAGCGCAGUAAUUUCUCUCGCUAUAGGGUCCCGGCGGAUGCUGGCCAGUAACCCCCAAUUUUCUAUGGUUGACCUCGGAUCAGGUAGGGAUACCCGCUGAACUUAAGCAUAUCAAAAGCGGAGGA
rnacentral:misc_RNA from 1 species